rnacentral:lncRNA from 1 species
GCAGCUGAAGAAGAUGAGCAAUGAAACGAAGGCUUCAGAAGGUGAUGAGCCGGUUAAAACAAAAGAGCAAGCUCAGUUGUCUAGUGAUGAAGAUGACGAUGAUGAGUCCAUUAAGGAGUUGAAGAAACCUUCUGGAGCCAAUGUAGACAUGAACAAACAAAGAAUUUCAAUCUCAAAGGCGAACAACAAAGGCAAAAAGAACAAAAACUUCAAAACCGAAAAUGCUAAUGUGGAAGGACCCAGGAAGCAAAAGAAGAAGAGAUCACAAUGGAAGGCUGAAAUUGCACAAGCUAGGUAAAAGAUUUCUAGUGUUUUUCCUGCUUUAUAUUGUUGAAUCAUAUGUAUCUAAUAGUUGAAUAUGUUGCAGGGAAGAUAAAAGAAAAGUCAUGAGAGAGAAUACUAAGGAGCCUGGGAGAAGAUAGGUUCUUGAUGCAUAUCGGAGAACAAUCAAUUGGUGUUCUGGUCAUGGCCAAGGAUACAAGAAAGGAGGUUUUGUUGGCUGAGGCUAAGGUAUCUGUUGCAGUGGCUUUGUAUUUUGUUUAAUCAACUGAGUUGGAUAACUUAAAACCAUGGGAAAGAAACAGUGACACUCUUGUGGACAAGUUGCAUGCAUGUCCAACAAAAGUUUUGUAUCAAUCUCAUAAGAUUGUUUUGUGUGGACCUGUUCUUAGUAUCUUUUUCCAUUGUGGAAUUAUAAAUUAGUUGAAAAAAAAUCAAAAUGAGUCCCCACUUUUGUCACAGGGUAACCACAAAAGUGUUUAUCACAGACUAUGGAUUUUUCUGAUCACAUCAACUCUUCUAUUGAAUAGAUAAAGUUUGGUCGAUUGGGGUCCAUUACACAACAUAAAAGGAUAGAAUGAGGGAAUCAAUCUGAUGAAAUUGAAACAGAGGGAAUUGGGAGUGAGCUGUUCAUUGUUAGGGGGAGAUGUGAAGGUUUUCUAAAGCGGGACUUGUGAAACAUGACAAUCCAUUCAGUUCUUGAUAUAUCUUUUGUCAGAUUCUCUUUGAGGACCUUUAACAUUAACUUCUCUUAACUAAUCUUCUUGUUAGUAUCUUUUAGAUUUUCAGCACAUAUUAUCCUGGCUGUACACAGUACACAAACACACAUUGAGAAAAAGUAUCAUUGUAUAAUUGAUGUAUGCACUUUACAUAUGGAUAUUCCAAAAUCGUAUAAAGAACUCUGAAAACAGAUUCCUUUGCAACCGGAAACAUACAGCUUUUAAAGGUAAAAAGUAAAUAUUAAUUCCUAGAAAACCUUGUUGCUGCAAAAUGUAUGUACAACGUAAUGGAUUGGAUACAUUUUUCAUAUAACAUUUACUUUUUACAUCAUUCUUGCAUAUAAUUAUUUAUUGUCUUGCAUAGUUUUCAUAACAGUUUGGGAACAUUGCAAAUAUAAAGCAGAAACUCUAUAAAUUAAUAUUCGAUAAAUUAAUAAAUAUAUAUUUUUCUGUUUCAUAUUACGUGUCAUUUUAUAUUUGUACACAUGAAUUAAAAAUAUAUUUAAUUUUUAUAUUUUCUAUAUAAAAACAUCAAUAUCCAUACACAUAACCAUAUUUUAACCAAUAGAAAAAUAAACUGAAAAAUAAAAUUAAUAAAUUUUGCAUUGAAAUACUAAAACGACACUUAUUUUGCAACGAUUUUUUUUUACAAUGACACGUAAUAUGAAACUGAGGGAGUAUGAUGUAACUAUAAACUAAUAUGAAUUAAUAAAAUAAAAAUAAAUGGAAUAAUAGGACUGGAAUAAAAAAAAUGAAAUUCAUUUUAUUUAUUCAUUAACAAAUUUGUUAUGUAAUAAUUUUCUUUGUAUUUUAUCUAAUUAUUUUUGGAAUUGGCAAAAUGAGUAUUUCAUUAUAUUCAUGUCAAAUAGUGAAUUUUUGUUUGAAUUAAUGGAAUAAGUCAUUUCACAUAAAUUAAUAAACUAGUUACAUACAUAAAUUAAUAAAAAAAUUUGAUCUUAAGUUAAACCGAUUUAAAAUAUGACAAAAAUCGAAAUUAAUUUUUUUAAAGUGUAUGUAAUUAUAUGGCUUCAUCAAAAUCAUAAAUUAAUAAUUAAUACAUACAACAAAUAAUAUGAUAAAUAAUAUAAAAGAUUAACUUUUAAAAUUUAGUUAAUACAUAUACAAUAAUGUAAUUUUUUAAAAAAUUAGAAAAUAAAUAUAUAUUUUUAUUUUAUAAAAGUAUAUUUUAAAUUUGAAAAAUCUAGAAUAUUUUUUUAAUAAAUUAAUAAAAUAUUAUAGUUUCAGCUUUAUUAAUUUAUAGAGUUUAUUUUAUUUGAAAAAUGUGGUGGCCAAAUUGCAAGGCAUAUGAGGACUCUCGAAAGUUGAGGAGACAUUUGUGUAUGAAUUCGAGUUUUGGGAAAUAUACAAACAUGGAAAGUAAAGAAAAAAAGGAAAUUGAAAAGCCCUAAAAAAAGAGUCGAAAACUUUUGCUUUGACCCACCUCCUCUGCUUUUCAUGGUAGACCCAACUCUCUCUCUCUCUCUCUCUCUCUCUCUCUCUCUCUUUUUCACUCACUCUCUCAUUCAUAUCUCUCUCUAUUCAUUUCAUUGCCAUUGAAGGAAGGAAGGUGAUGAGUUCCUCAUCUUCCUCUUUAGCAAUACAUGAUUAAUAAAGCCCUCCUCUUCUUCCUUUUAAUACCCUUUUUUCUUCUUCCUCUUCUCAAUUCUUGAGAACAAUUUUGUAUCAAGAUCCUCCUCUCCUAAAGCAAAGGUAAUGAUUUUUUUUGGUAUUUCUCGUUAAUUUCCCUUCUUUGUUUUUUUGUUGUUUCUCUCCAGAUCCAAAAGAGCUUUGCUUAAUUGUUCUUAGUUGUGAAGUCUCUACUACACGCAUGCGGCAUGUCAAACUCUAAACGAACUAAUAAGCUUUGCAUUAAUUUUCAACACUAAAUAAAAUUAAGCUGGCUAAUAAUGCAUACACGAAUUAUAGAAAAGUGGCCAAGGGUCACAUUGACAUAAACGCUAUUACACACUAUCCGGUGAGAGCAUAAUUAAUGGGAGAUUAUUAGGGUGGAGGUUCUUAGGGUGAGGGUUUCUAACGGAAUAUUUAAGAGUCGGUUUUUAGUUUUUUUAGUUAAAAUUUAAGGGACGGAUUCUUAUAUUCCGCUAAGAACCCAGAACCCCACCUCAAGAAAUCUCCAUUGAUCACGGUUUUAAGACAUGUCGAGUCUUAGCGAUCAUAUUUUUGCGUGGUAAAAAAGUCAUUGACAAGUGAAUCCAAUAGAUGGAACACAAUUUAAUGGGCUAGCAAGUAAAAUCUUUAACAAUGGCCCAUUAAGAGUUAAUUUCAUACAAAUAAGCCCACUAAACAGCGUAGUUUAAACCCUGUCUUCUUACACAACAGCUCUGCUAAACCUUCGCCGCAAUAAACCACCCAAAAGUCGUAAAACACCGUCGCCAUGCCUGCUCUUACGCGUAACAAGAAGAAGGGAGCUAAGUCGCAGACUCCUCCACUGAUUAAGCGGACUAAAUCGAAUCCCACGCCUCCACCGAAGAAGGCGGCGAAAUCCCAUAAGCCUCCGUUGAAGAAACAGAGGAAAGGUAUAUUGGAUGAGAAGCCUGAAGUUUAUAAUGAUGAGGAGGAAGAGGAAGAAGAAGAAGUGAGUGAACAUUCUGAUGAAGGAGAUGAAUUGGGUUCUGACUUGUUCUCAGAUGGUGAUGGAGAAGAAGAAGAAGAAGAAGAAGAUACAGAACCGUUGGGCGACGACUUUCUCGAUGGUAGCGAUGAUGAGGAGGAAACUUUGGGUUCUGAUUCUGACUCUGAUCUCGAGAAGGAAAGUAAAGCUAUUGAUGAAGAACGUGAAAGGCAGGAGCGAGAUGCGAAAGAUGAAUUGCAGAUGAACAUUAAGGAACAACCUGAUGAGUUUCGGCUACCAACGAAAAAGGUACAAUCUUUUUGAAUGUUACAAAUCAAAUUCAUUCCUUUUUUUUUAACAUUUUUGCAAUUGUUAGUUGGUUUUUGUUGAAAAGAUCAAUGGAGUAUUUGGAAUUUAGCUAUUUUAUCAUUGUUAUUAUUCUACAUUGUUUCAGGAACUUGAAGAAGAGGCAAGUGGGCCACCAGAUCUUCCUGCCUUGCAAACUAGGAUCAAAGAGAGUGAGCAACUUUUUCGAAUUUUAAGAUUCUUCCUAAGGAAUCAGCCUUUGACCUUUGUUCGUUGCUUGAUGUUACUUAUAUGUGUUUCAGUUGUUAGAGUGCUGUCGAAUUUUAAGGAUUUAAGGCCAGAAGGAGUCAAGAGGAAGGAGUUUGUUGAACAGCUUAAGGCUGAUCUUGCUUCUUAUUACGGCUAUAAUGAGUUUCUUAUUGGAACUCUUGUUGAGGUUUUUCGCUUAUCUCUGACUUCUCUUUUUAUGUUCACUCUCUUUGAUCUAAGCGCUAGCUAAUUUUGUUACUCACAUAUGGUGAAUUGGGAUAUUUUUGGCAGAUGUUUCCUCCUGUUGAACUCAUGGAACUAAUCGAAGCUUUUGAAAAGCAAAGGCCUACUUCUAUACGUACCAACACUCUUAAGGUGAACUUGGUUGUACAGUUUUACUCUGGAGUAGUAACUGUUUCUCAAUUGUUGAGGUGUAAAUAAUUAUAUGGUGAUGUUUGUUUUGGAUAGACUCGGAGACGGGAUCUGGCUGAUGUACUUUUGAACAGAGGAGUUAAUCUAGACCCAUUAAGCAAGUGGUCAAAAGUAAGUUGUGUUUGAAGAUUGUGUUCGUCCUAUUUUGUGGACAUUCUGUAACUAAUCCUGUGAUUAAAAAUUAUAGGUUGGACUUGUCGUUUAUGAUUCACAAGUUCCAAUUGGUGCAACUCCUGAAUAUUUGGCUGGUUUCUAUAUGGUAAGUGUUUUCUUGAUCUUUUUGUACUUCCAGCUCAUACUUACUUUACGGGUAUCAUGUACUUGUUUUCUGAAGUCUGUUCUUGGUGCAUUUGCAGUUGCAAAGUGCUAGUUCCUUCUUGCCAGUGAUGGCUCUUGCUCCUCGAGAGAAUGAGCGCGUUGUGGACAUGGCGUAAGUUUAUUGUAUCUAUGCUGACAAAGUUGUACCUUAAGUUGAUUUUCAAGUGCAUGUUUGUGAUUUAUAUCAUGUCUUGUAAUUCAAAGUUCUAUUAGAAACGGACUAGUCAAUAUGAAUGCUCCAUUACGUAGGAGAUGCAAUUAGUUUAGUGUGAUAUAUAUAUAUAUAACAAGGUCUUUAUACUCUAUGCCUGCAGUGCUGCCCCUGGUGGUAAAACAACUUAUGUUGCUUCCCUAAUGAAGAAUACUGGUAUGCAUUCAUUGGUUUCUUUGUCCUCUUAACCUCUAAUUUUUAUUUUUAGUUGGUUAUCCUAACGUUAUGAUGAUAAUUGUGACCAGGCAUAAUAUAUGCAAACGAGAUGAAAGUACCUAGGCUUAAGUCACUCACUGCCAAUCUGCAUCGCAUGGGGGUGACAAAUACCAUAGUUUGUAACUAUGAUGGAAGAGAGGUUAGCUUCUUGAACCUAUAUACAUACUUGAGGAUAUUAAAUUCUGCAAACUAUUUGUAGACCAUGAGCUCUACCAAAUGAAAAGUUACUGACAAAACUGUAUCACGGAACUAAAAUUUUACGGACACCUUCUCUACUAUUCGCAUUGCAGUUCUUGUUUAUACCAUUUUGUUUUCCUCUCAGCUACCCAAGGUUUUUGGUCCGAACUCGGUAGAUAGAGUAUUGUUGGAUGCUCCUUGCAGUGGAACUGGAGUAAGAAACUUUCUUUCGGCCCUCUUAUCGUCUCUUAAGUUUUUCUCCAUGUCCGUAACUUUUAUGUCUUCUUCUACAUAAUGCAGGUUAUAUCAAAAGAUGAAUCAGUUAAAACUUCCAAAAGUGCCAAUGACAUAAGGAAAUUUGCUGAUUUGCAAAAGGUUUGGCUGGGCCUUUAUUACUCUUUUACAUUCCCAAACGAUUUUUUUUAAUGAUGAAAAUUGUUGUAACAACCUUUUACAUUUUGUUACUGUGAUAAGCUUAGAAGGAUGCCUGAGGCUUGUAAUGCUAACCAUACUCUUUUUAUAUUUUUCUGCAUAGCAACUUAUACUUGCUGCUAUUGAUUUGGUGGACGCCGAAUCCAAAACCGGUGGAUAUAUUGUUUACUCAACAUGCUCCAUUAUGAUUCCCGAGGUUGGUUAACCGUAAUUGUUUUUAUUCCACUGUUUUUGUUCUUGCGUCCUCAUGUUUUGUCAGUAUUUUGAUUUAUAAAACAAAACUAUGCAGAACGAAGCUGUGAUCGAUUAUGCCUUAAAAAAGAGGGAUGUCAAACUCGUUCCAUGUGGACUUGAUUUUGGGCAAGCAGGGUAAUAUACAUUUUCAUCUCCAUAGGAACGUUUCAUGCUCUUUCGUCUAACUACAAAUGUUCUACUUCAUGUCAUCAGAUUUAGUAGAUUUAGAGAACACCGGUUCCACCCUACUUUGGAGAAAACUAGACGCUUCUAUCCCCACGUCCACAACAUGGACGGAUUCUUUGUGGCAAAGGUAUUAUACACCUGAGGUUUAGCCUGUGAUCAGCUUUUUCCCCCGAAAGAUACUAGAAUAUAUGUUCUAUGAAAAAUAUCAUAGUGCUCAAAUCGAUAAUGUAUUUCUUUCUUAUUCGUCCUGCAGCUGAAGAAGAUGAGCAAUGAAACGAAGGCUUCAGAAGGUGAUGAGCCGGUUAAAACAAAAGAGCAAGCUCAGUUGUCUAGUGAUGAAGAUGACGAUGAUGAGUCCAUUAAGGAGUUGAAGAAACCUUCUGGAGCCAAUGUAGACAUGAACAAACAAAGAAUUUCAAUCUCAAAGGCGAACAACAAAGGCAAAAAGAACAAAAACUUCAAAACCGAAAAUGCUAAUGUGGAAGGACCCAGGAAGCAAAAGAAGAAGAGAUCACAAUGGAAGGC